rnacentral:lncRNA from 1 species
GAGGACAUGACCCUAGAUAGGAAGGUCUGGAAGACGCGAAUUACGGCAGAGGAUUAGGGCCUGUUCGGGUCGCUAAUGUAGGGAGGUAAUUGGUGGGGGUGUAUUCCUGGUAUGAUUCCGUAUUCAAUGUUCUGUUCCGUGUUCCGUGUUCUAUGUUUGUUACGAAUCUGUGUGCUUUCCUCUGCUUUAUAUUCCUGCUUUCCUGCUUUACUCUGUUUUAUAUUCCUUAUGGCUGCAGUAUCUAUCUAUGUUAUGUCAUCUGCUUCUGUGCUGUACUAUGUGUUUGUUUGAUAUCUCGUAACUUGAGCCGGGGGUCUUUCGGAAACAGCCUUUCUACUUCAUCAGAGGUAGAGGUAUGGACUGCGUACAUCUUACCCCCCC